rnacentral:rRNA from 1 species
GAUGAACGCUGACAGAAUGCUUAACACAUGCAAGUCAACUUGAACUUCGGUUUGGGUGGCGGACGGGUGAGUAACGCGUAAAGAACUUGCCUCACAGAUAGGGACAACAUUUGGAAACGAAUGCUAAUACCUGAUAUUAUGAUUUUAGGGCAUCCUAGGAUUAUGAAAGCUAUAUGCGCUGUGAGAGAGCUUUGCGUCCCAUUAGCUAGUUGGAGAGGUAACGGCUCACCAAGGCGAUGAUGGGUAGCCGGCCUGAGAGGGUGAUCGGCCACAAGGGGACUGAGACACGGCCCUUACUCCUACGGGAGGCAGCAGUGGGGAAUAUUGGACAAUGGACCAAGAGUCUGAUCCAGCAAUUCUGUGUGCACGAUGAAGUUUUUCGGAAUGUAAAGUGCUUUCAGUUGGGAAGAAAAAAAUGACGGUACCAACAGAAGAAGUGAC